GGGGUAUCGACCCCCCCUGUGCCGCAGCAAACGCAGUAAGUAUUCCGCCUGGGGAGUACGACCGCAAGGUUGAAACUCAAAGGAAUUGACGGGUCCCCGCACAAGCAGCGGAGCAUGUGGUUUAAUUCGAAGCAACGCGAAGAACCUUACCAGGGCUUGACAUCCUCAGAAUCCUUAGGAAACUAGGGAGUGCCUUCGGGAACUGAGAGACAGGUGGUGCAUGGUUGUCGUCAGCUCGUGUCGUGAGAUGUUGGGUUAAGUCCCGCAACGAGCGCAACCCUUAUGUUCAGUUACCAGCGUGUAAUGGCGGGGACUCUGGACAAACUGCCGGGGACAACUCGGAGGAAGGUGGGGACGACGUCAAAUCAUCAUGCUCCUUAUGUCCUGGGCUACACACGUGCUACAAUGGCCAUUACAAAGGGAAGCCACCCCGCGAGGGGGAGCGAAACCGAAAAAGGUGGUCUCAGUUCGGAUUGAGGGCUGCAACCCGCCCUCAUGAAGUUGGAGUUGCUAGUAAUCGCGAAUCAGCACGUCGCGGUGAAUGCGUUCCCGGGGAUUGUACACACCGCCCGUCACACCACGGAAGUUGGGGGCACCCGAAGCCAGUGAGCUAACCGCAAGGAGGCAGCUGUCUAAGGUGAAAUCAAUGACUGGGGUGAAGUCGUAACAAGGUAGCCG
rnacentral:rRNA from 1 species